UUUGGAGCCAAAGGGCAGGAUUCAUUUCUUACCUUUGAUGAUUAAGGCAGAAGGAGAAAGGUGAAAGGGCCAAAACAUAUGGAGGUGGAGUUGUGCUUAAGAACUCACUGCAAAUACUGAUCAGCUGGAAACCAGAAGCAAUCUGAGCGUUGGCUGACUUUGAGAAGUUUCCCAUCCUCCUCCUCGUGUUAGUCAUCUAAGGACAUCGGGAAGGUAAAAGUCAAGAUGGUCAGUGAUGGACUGGGAUGCAGUGGAGGAUGUUGGCAUCUUUAAUGUCUGACAGCUCUAAGCAAUAAUCCACAGUACCUGCUUCAGUCACUUUUAUGGGUGUUGGAAUAAAUUUUUCUU
rnacentral:lncRNA from 1 species